rnacentral:rRNA from 2 species
GGGUUGUGAGGUUAAGCGACUAAGCGUACACGGUGGAUGCCCUGGCAGUCAGAGGCGAUGAAGGGCGUGCUAAUCUGCGAUAAGCGCC